UUCAUCAUGGUAAAAGUGAUAAUUUGGUAAAAGAUUUUUUCCUCAGAGAUCCUGGUUGCUGCUGAACAGCUGUAGAUUGCUAGGGAGAAAGUAUUUUGAAUAUGUCAGCAAUAACCACGUUUUCAAAAAUGGUUACAUUUUACAAUUACAACAUCAAAAUAUAUAGGAGAUGUUGUAAGAUUUAUAUUUGUGCCACAGAGCUUCCAUACGAUUUUCAGAAGCGCUUAUGAGCUAAAAGCUUCUGGGACUUCUGUGUAACUUAAGUAAUUUAGGUUCUUGGAAAUUUCACUUUGUUUCAGAUGUGGCAGUAAAGGACAAUGUGGUACAUACAGGGAAAAGGCAGAGCUGUGAGGAUGAAGCAUGAAGUAAUUAGAAGUUCUUCAAAUGAGCUGGGUGAAAUGGAACAGAAGGUGCAGCCUCGGCAGACAGAACUCUCUGAACACCCAGCCUGACAGUCUCAGGAUUGCUGUCUCGGUCUAACAAAGAGGAAACAGAUUUUACUGCAGUAGGACCAACGUAAUGAUUUCUACGAGCAUUGGCAGGACUUUUCCUGAAUGCAGUGUGAUUGCUUUCUAACUUACACUGUUGUCUGCAUUUUGUGUAUACUGUAUAACCCAAAAAGGAAAUAAAAAAGUACCGCUUUUCUGAGAGAAACCCA
rnacentral:lncRNA from 1 species